rnacentral:tRNA from 1 species
AGUCACCGGCGAUAUUCGAACUCGCGAUCUCCUGUUUGCUAGACAGGCGGUGUAACCAACUAAGACACAGCCCC